rnacentral:rRNA from 1 species
GACGAACGCUGGCGGCGUGCUUAAUACAUGCAAGUCAACUGAACUUUAGGUAGCAAUAUUUAAAGGGAGGUGGCGCACGGGUGAGUAACACGUAGGUAAUCUGCCUUCAGGACUGACAUAAUUCCGCGAAAGCGGGACUAAAAUCAGAUGAUGCAGCGGCUCGACAUCGAGACAGUUGUUAAACCUUCGGGGCCUGAAGAUGAGCCUGCGUCUGAUUAGGUAGUUGGCGGGGGUAAAAGCCCACCAAGCCUGCGAUCAGUAGCUGGUCUGAGAGGAUGAUCAGCCACACUGGAACUGAGACACGGUCCAGACUCCUACGGGAGGCAGCAGUAAGGAAUAUUGCUCAAUGGCCGAAAAGGCUGAAGCAGCAACGCCGCGUGGAGGAUGAAAUACUUUAGUAUGUAAACUCCUGUAAGAGGGGAAAAAUAUACAGCUAUGCUGUGUUGAUUGUACCCUCAGAGUAAGCACCGGCUAACUACGUGCCAG